UUCCAAUGUUAGUGGCGGACGGGUGAGUAACACGUGGGCAACCUGCCUGUAAGUUGGGGAUAACUCCGGGAAACCGGGGCUAAUACCGAAUGAUAAGAUGUGGCGCAUGCCACGCCUUUGAAAGAUGGUUUCGGCUAUCGCUUACAGAUGGGCCCGCGGUGCAUUAGCUAGUUGGUAGGGUAAUGGCCUACCAAGGCAACGAUGCAUAGCCGACCUGAGAGGGUGAUCGGCCACACUGGGACU
rnacentral:rRNA from 1 species